rnacentral:antisense_RNA from 1 species
UCAGUGCUUCUAAAUUUGAAAGUCUUCAUGCAAAUUGCCCAAGUUUGCUGGCAGCUGUGUCUCAGAAAAAGCUGUCUUCAGCAAGGCAGAAGCAGAUCAGGGUGGUCCAGAGUUGGUGACUACUAUGGCAUGGCUACCCAGGGCCAGAGAGGUGAGGUUUAAUGAGAAAGAAGAUAGAUGAAAAUGACUCCUCCUUCUGCUAUCACUGCUGCAGCAACUCAGGCCUGCAGACAAGAUCCAGCUCUAUUGCCCAGGCUGGAGUGCAGUGGUGAGAUAAUGACUCACUGCAGCCUUGAUCUCCUGGACUCAAGCAGUUCUCCUGCCUCAGCCUCCUGAGUAGCUGGGACCACAGGCACUCUCCACCAUGUCUGGCCAAAAUUUUUUGAAUUUUUUGUAGAGACCAGGUUUCACCAUGUUGCCCAGGCUGAUUUCAAAUUCCUGGGCUCAAGUGAUCUUCCUGCCUCAGCCUCUCAAAGUACUGAGAUUACAAGUGUGAGCCACCACACCCAGCCAAAAUAUAAAUACGCCUUUAAUAGUAACACCUAAUUACCUAACACCAUCAAAAAUGGGGUGCUCCAUGAAGAAGCACAUAAUUCAAAUUAUUGAAGCUUAUCCCUUCUAAUGACCACAUAGAUUUCUCUUGCCCCAUUAAAAAAUUAGAUAAUCAGUAUUUCUAGGAUAGUUGUUUUCUUCCAACCAAUUAAGGCAUAAUCUACGUAGUAGAACAUUCAGAGGAUGAUGCCUGGUCAACAUUUGAAUAAACAAUCACUGUGGUGUUACCUCUAUUUAAGAUGACUCCAAUAAAACUUCUACGGUUUGCAUUAUUAGUUGAUCAGACUUUUGAUCAACUAAUAAUGCAAAGUAUUAUCUUUUGAUAGAGUCAAGGAACCUGUCUUAACUCCCC